rnacentral:snoRNA from 1 species
AGGAAGUAUUUUCCUUCUUAAUCUCAUAAUGUGAUGAUCGUGAGUGCAUUUGGCUCGAGGCUUUGUCCUUGGCGGGACUUUGUCAGUGUGGAAAACUCUAGCUACCUAUAUUUUACUUUUUCUGAUC